CCUACGGGAUGCAGCAGUGAGGAAUAUUGGUCAAUGGGCGCGAGCCUGAACCAGCCAAGUCGCGUGAGGGAUGACGGCCCUACGGGUUGUAAACCUCUUUUGCCGGGGAGCAACGGGCGUCACGUGUGGCGCCACUGAGAGGACCCGGAGAAACAGCAUCGGCUAACUCCGUGCCAGCAGCCGCGGUAAUACGGAGGAUGCGGGCUUUAUCCGGAGUUAUUGGGUUUAAAGGGUGCGUAGGCGGAUCGUUAAGUCAGUGGUCAAAUUGAGGGGCUCAACCCCUUCCCGCCAUUGAAACUGGCGUUCUUGAGUGGAAGAGAAGUAUGCGGAAUGCGUGGUGUAGCGGUGAAAUGCAUAGAUAUCACGCAGAACCCCGAUUGCGAAGGCAGCAUGCCGGCUUCCGACUGACGCUGAAGCACGAAAGCGUGGGGAUCGAACAGGAUUAGAUACCCCUGUAGUC
rnacentral:rRNA from 1 species